CACGCUGACAGCACAAUGAUGAUGUCACUGAUUCUACUGCUGGCCACCCUGGGGCUCCUUGUUCAGGAUUCAUCAGGAGAAAUCAUCCUGACUCAGUCUCCUGGAUCUCAGUCUGUUGUUCCAGGACAGACUGUCUCUAUCACAUGUAAAGCCAGUUCAGAUAUGAACCGCUACCUUCACUGGUACCUUCAGAAACCUGGAGAGUCUUCCAAACUUCUAAUUUAUCAGGCUACGACUCGUCAGUCUGGUGUUUCAGAUCGUUUCAGUGGAAGUGGAUCUGGGACUGACUUCACUCUGACCAUCAGUGGAGUUCAGACUGAAGAUGCAGGAGACUCAUAUUGUCAAUAUUAUGCAGUACAUAACAUUCAACAUGUGCACACGUUCGGUGGAGGAACCAGACUGGAUGUUGGAAGUGAUGUCCGUCCCACCCUGACGGUGCUGCCCCCCUCCAGUGAGGAGCUGCAGCAGGGGAAGGCCACGCUCAUGUGUCUGGCCAACAAGGGCUUCCCCUCAGACUGGAGUCUGGCCUGGAAGGUGGACGGCAGCAGCAGCAGCAGCAGCAGCAGCAGCUGGGAGGAGAGCAGGAGCCCUGGGGUGCUGGAGAAGGACGGCCUCUACAGCUGGAGCAGCACCCUGAGGCUCCCUGCAGACCAGUGGAGGAAGGUGGGCUCUGUGACCUGUGAGGCCACCCAGGGCUCCCAGACUCCACUCUCAGAGACACUGAGGAGAGACCAGUGUUCCCAGUCCUGACCUGACUCACUGGGACUCUGCUGCUGGUUUUACUCUGCUACUGCUCUCAGUCUGCUCUCUGUCUCUCUCAUGACGUUUCAGUGUGAACAUGUUCUUGCUUGUGUUGAUGGUUUCAAUAUCUCAAAGCAAUAAAGAUUUGAUCAAAUGUA